rnacentral:lncRNA from 1 species
UCCCAUCGUCGGUGUCUCCAGACAAAGUGUGGUCCACUCAGUGUGGUCUGCAAACUGCUGCCCGUCCACGAAGAGCUGAGCACAAGCUGGAGAGUAAGGGUCUGGAAAGCUCGGUAGCAGUCAGCCAUCGCUGCGAAGUGCAGGCACCCGACGGUCUUAUUGUAGGUUAUGAAAGUGUUGGUUCAGGAUGAACUGGCAAUCAAGAGCCAGCCAACAAACUGGUCCUUCCCCGCAGGUGGUUUGACAAGCUGGGGGCUCAGCCACGGAAAUGCAGGGCAGGACAGAAAGGAGGAGGAUGAAGAGGAGAAGAGAACGGUGAAGAAACCACGGUGCAGGGGGCUCUGCCCCACCCAAGGUCAAGGUCAAGGUCGGCCCGGCCUCUCUGCAUGCUCACACUUGGAGGGCCAGCGCCUCUGUGAGGAGAGCAGCGGGCAGGAAGAGGGCGUCCCCUCCGACCCGCUCCCACACCCAGGUGCAGGAGGGGGCGACGGCCUGCCCGCAGGGCUCACGUUCCCGGGCCCCCAGAUCUCGCCCCUGGCGUGCAGGGGGGUCCGUGGAGUGGUACUGGUCUGUCUUGGGUGUCCCAAACUCCUGCCCUCACCAUCCCCUCCUGUAUGCAGAUCGUGGCAUUCAUGGACUCCUUCUCCGUGCCACGUGCCACGUGCAUUCUGAGAUGCUCUGAAACGGGGAGGGGGCCCCAGCGGUGCGCCCUGCCCAGCUGUUCUCGCCCGUCCCCUCGGCUGCUCUGCCUGCCUGGCCUCUUUGCCAACUGGCCUCCAACCUCGUGCUCACGCUCUCUUCCUGGCAUCCCCCUCCUUUCCCGGUGCUCUGGGGGAGCCUGGAUUCGAGGGCUGAGGGUCAGGGCUUCGCAGCUGCGUCUUGAGCUACAGCAAGUGUACUGGUUUCCUACGGCUGCGUAACAAGCCCCCCAAGCUCUGAAGCAGAAAACAGCAUGCGUUUAUCGGCUCCUGGUUCUAUAGGCCUGAAGUCCAGGCCCGGCGGGGCUGGAUUCUCCACACUGGGGCUCAUGAGGCUGGAAUCGGGGUGUCAGCUUUUAUCUGGAAGUUCUGGAGGAGAAUCUGUUUCCAGCCUCACAAAGAACUCGGUUCCUUGUGGUUGUGGUCCAAGGUCCCCAUGCCCUUGUGGCUGUCAGUGGGGCCACCCUCUGUUCCUAGCGACCACAACAUUCCUUCUCACAGGCCCCAUUUUCAAAGCUCGCAACCACACAGUGAGUCCUUCUCAGUGCUCACUCGUGUCUCUGAUUUGUUCUUCUGCCACCAGCCAGAGAGAACUCUGCUUUUUUUUUUUCUUUUUUGGUGAGGAAGAUUGGCCCUGAGCUAACAUCUGCACCAAUCUUCCUCAAUUUUGUAUGUGGGAUGUUGCCACAGCACAGCUUGAUGAGCGGCAUGUAGGUCCACACCCGGGAUCUGAACCCGAGAACCCCGGGCCACGGAAGCAGAACAAGCGAACUUCACUACGCCACCGGCCGGCCCCCAAAACUCCCUGCUUUUGAAGGGCUCAUGUGAUGAGACCAGGCCCACCUGGACAAUCUCCCUUUUGAUGAACUCAGUCAGUUGAUAAAUCCUUUUUGCCGUGGAAGGUAGCGGAACCAUGGGAGUGACAGCUCAUCAUAGUCACAGGUUCCCCCACACCUAGAUGGGGGGAUUAGACA